rnacentral:rRNA from 1 species
GACGAACGCUGGCGGCUUGCUUAACACAUGCAAGUCGAACGCUGAAGCUUGGUUCUUGCACUGGGUGGAUGAGUGGCGAACGGGUGAGUAAUACGUGAGUAACCUGCCCUUGACUCUGGGAUAAGCCUGGGAAACUGGGUCUAAUACUGGAUACGACAUGUCACCGCAUGGUGGUGUGUGGAAAGGGUUUUACUGGUUUUGGAUGGGCUCACGGCCUAUCAGCUUGUUGGUGGGGUAAUGGCUCACCAAGGCGACGACGGGUAGCCGGCCUGAGAGGGUGACCGGCCACACUGGGCCUGAGAAACGGCCAAGACUCCACCGGGAGGCAGAAGUGGGGAAUAUUGCACAAUGGGCGGAACCCUGAUGCAGCGACGCGGCGUGAGGGAUGACGGCCUUCGGGUUGUAACCCUCUUUCAGAACGGAAGAAGCGAAAGUGACGGUACGUGCAGAAGAAGCGCCGGCUAACUACGUG